ensembl:lncRNA
AUGUUUUACCAUCUGAGCCACAUCAGCUCCAGACAUUUAUAUUAGUGUACAUAAAUAUAUAUAUAUAAUAUAUAAAUGUACAUACACAUAUUUUGGAAUAACACAGUAUUUUAAGUGCUUUCAGACAGAAUGACUAUUGGGGAUAUACUUAGACAUGACAACCCUGGUUCAAACAAAGAAGAGAAAGAAUCCCUUUAGGUUCUAAAACCAACUUUGUGAAUCUCAUUGUGAUUUUCAGAACAGGCUGUUGAUGACAUACACAGGGUCAACCCUGGACAAAAUUGCUACAUAUGAAAAUUUUAGAGUAUUCAGUCUUUCUUUUCCCUGUCUACUCUGUAUGACUAACAUGUAUUUGUUUUACUGAUAAUUCUUUGUGCACCUGGCCCUUCAUUAGGAUCUUUACAUCUUAUAUUAGUUUUCUGUCAGUUCAUGAGUUUUCUAGAGCUGGUAUAACAAAUACAACAAAUCCAGUGGCUUUAAAACAGCACACAUUUAUUAUCUUACAUUUAUUAAACAGCAUACAUUUAUUAUAUUACAAUUAUGAAGGUUGGAAAGCUGACACAGUUCUCACAGGGCUAAAAUCAAAGAGUCAGCAGGGCUGUUUUCCUUUCUGGAAACUCUGGGGGGAAUCCAUGGUCUUGCCUUUUCUAGCUUCUUGAGGCUGCCAGCAAUACUUGGCUCUUACUCCUUCCUUCAUUGUAAAGAAAGAGAUGGUGGAUUAGGUGCUUUUCCCAACACUUCACAUCACUUUGACCUUCUUGUCUGUCUCCCUCUUUUAUUCUUUUUGUUGCCAUGCUGUGUGGUGUGCAGGAUCUUAGUUCCUCACCCAGGGAUCAAACCUGUGUCCCCUGCAUUGGGAGCAUGGGGCCUUAACCACUGGACCACCAGGGAAGUAUGCACCCUUUUUUACUUUUAAGGAUCUUUCUGAUUAUCGUGGACACACACAGAUAAUUCAAGAUCAUCUCGUUAUUUUAAUAAUUUCCCUGACUCGCAACCUUAAUUCUCCUUCAUCAUCUCCCCAUCUCACGAUCCUUAACUGGGACCAACUGCAAAGUCCCUUUCAACACAUGCAGUGACACAUUCACAGAUUUCUGGGAUUAGGGUGUGGGCAUCUUUGGCGGAACACUAUUCUGCCUCCUACAAGUGUAUUAUUUUAUUUGUUCCUCACCAUACUGUUUCUGUGAUUAUCCCCAUUUUACAGACUCUCAUCACACUAGUACAAUGAUGCUCCUGUGUCAUAGGUAAUGAAUCCAAGACUUAGACAAGUUGAAGGCAGUGGCCUUUGGCUCACACAGCUUGUACAUUGGCAGAGCUACGACUGAAUCCACAUCUGUCUUCACACUUAAUCUCUUCACCACUAAACCAUACUAAUUCUCACAAAUGUCACUUUCUCCUGAUUACUCUUUUUCUCCCUUAGAGCUUUACUCUCUCUAACCUAACCCAGAUGAGCAUUACAUCAGGAAGGGAUGUAAAACUUGUUGAAUUUCUAAAGUAUCACACCUCAAAUGAUGCCUUUCUAGGGGUAUUUGCCUUUGGCAACAUUGAAGUCUAGGGCUAAAGGUCAGAAAUUGGCAGAGAAACUAGCAAAUUCGGAAGGGAUAUUUUGAGCUUGGGGCUUUCUCAGAGCUUCUGGGCCAUAGAUGAUUGUCUGCUUUGCUUCUUGCAGGGAGAGCCUAGAUCCCAGGCAAAGGCUACUUGAGAAUAAGAGGUGACAAGAUUUUGAGAGGGUCGUUAUCUUAGAGUAAAUUCAGACGGCGCCUUGCUGUCCUCCUCCUGGGAGCCAUCCACUUACAGCAUCUGAAGACAGACUGGCCACACAGAUUCAAAAUUAGCUCCCACCUGUGUCCACAGCCUUGGACACCAGCUUCUUCAGCCAGUUCUUACAAAUCAUCUGAGACAUCACAGUGCCUUGUACACAUAACUGCUUGUUUUUUUCUGUUAAAUGGAAAG